AGGAAUAAGCCACGGCUAACUCUGUGCCAGCAGCCGCGGUAAGACAGAGGUGGCGAGCGUUAUCCGGAUUCAUUGGGCGUAAAGGGCGCCUAGGCGGCUCUGUGUGUCUUCGGUGAAAGCCCUCGGCUCAACCGAGGGAAGCCCGGGGAAACUACAGAGCUCGAGCCUCGGAGAGGGAAGUGGAACGGCUAGAGUAGCGGUGAAAUGCGCAGAUACUAGUCGGUACCCCAAUAGCGAAGGCAACUUCCUGGUCGAGCGCUGACGCUGAAGCGCGAAAGCGUGGGGAGCAAAGGGGAUUAGAUACCCCCGUAGUCCACGCCCUAAACGAUGUCAGCUAGGUGUUGGGCUCUUUAAUAGCAGCUCAGUGCCGCAGCUAACGCGUUAAGCUGACCGCCUGGGUAGUACGGCCGCAAGGCUAAAACUCAAGGGAAUUGACGGGGGCCCGCACAAGCGGUGGAGCACGUGGUUCAAUUCGAUGGUAAACGAAGAACCUUACCCGGGCUUGACAUGCAAGUAGUACUGAGCCGAAAGGCAAGGGACUGGACCCGUAAGGGUCUGGAGCUUGCACAGGUGCUGCAUGGCUGUCGUCAGCUCGUGUCGUAGGACGUCGGGUUAAGUCCCGUAACGAGCGCAACCCCUGCUCUUAGUUGCCACCAGUUCGGCUGGGCACUCUAAGGGGACCGCCGGUGAAUAGCCGGAGGAAGGAAGGGAUGACGUCAAGUCAGUAUGGCCCUUAUGCCUGGGGCUACACACGUGCUACAAUGGGCGGUACAAAGGGUCGCCAACCCGCGAGGGGGAGCCAAUCCCAAAAAGCCGCCCUCAGUUCGGAUUGGGGUCUGCAAUUCGACCCCAUGAAGUCGGAAUCGCUAGUAAUCACCGGUCAGCCAUACGGUGGUGAAUACGUACUCGGGCCUUGUACACACCGCCCGUCACACCAGCCGAGUGGGGAUCGCUCGAAGUCCCCGUAUAGGGGCCGAAGGUGGUCUUCGCGAGGGGGGUGAAGUCGUAACAAGGUAGCCGUAGGAGAACCUGCGGCUGGAUCACCUCCUUUCU
rnacentral:rRNA from 1 species